rnacentral:lncRNA from 1 species
AGAUUUCAUUAUUCCUGUUGGUGAAAAUUUUCUGUAUAUUUUUCUGCCAAUAUUAUUGUGAUUUUUCAAAGGCCGAUGUUUUGUUUCUCCCCUAAAUUUAAAAAUUAUGUAAUUAUUUUAAAGUAGUCGUUUAAUUUUAAUUCGCUAAAACUUAAUCUCCAUUUUAAUCGUUUAUAAUAAAUGAAUAUCGUACGUUGUAUCCAGAACUUCUCGUCAGUUAUAUCCUAUAUUAGCAUCAGCUACUGUGUUCGCUAGACUAUAAUCUACGCCAUUCUAUAUUUUAUUACAGUUUUAAAUCUUUCUCAAAUAAUAAGUUACCAUGUUUUAUAUAAAUAAAUUUCAAAUCUGUUUUAUGGUUUAUUAUGUGCUGUUAUUUUUUAAUGGAUGAUUGGAUUGAUUUAAUUUGAUGUUGUACUAGGAGAGAGACGUCUUUUCAUCUCUUAAGCAUUGAACCGAAACGUACCCUCGGCAAUAAUCCCUUGGAAAGAGGGUCGAAAGGGGCGAAGGAACAGUGAUUGGAUUUGCAGAAAAGGGUGGCCACAAAAUAAUCCGGUGGCGCCUUAUAGCUUUGAAUUAUGAGAGAAAAUCCACAAAGAGACGCGGAAAUUGUAUGCCGACUAUAUUAUUAUGUUUUGGUGGACGAGAAUAAAAACAAGGCAAGAGUAGAAAAAAAAAAGUCAUCCACCUCUAGUGGAAGAAUGACUGAGACCGUCCUACAUCAUCUAUCUGCGGGUAACUGAUGGAUGCCGCGUUUAAUAGUUCGAGCUGCUUAUUUGUCACUCACUGCCAAUCACGGCUUCCCGGAUUCCACCGCCAAAUUACCAUCUUGAUCCAGCAGAAGGCGGGACUCGUCAUCCUGUUCAUCUGAUGGUUUCCCCUUCGGAUGGUAAGGGGGCCACGUUCCUCCCGGUCCUCAGAUAACGCCAUGAUCUAUGUGGUGAUGUGUGGCGGGAAAGUCAGAAUCUCCUAUCUUACCCAGUGAUUAUUAAUAAAUUUAUUAUCAGUUGACCAAGACUGCACGUUUCACUUUCGGCAGCAACUGGGUGAGGCCCUCCUCUGAAUUGACUGGACUUGAAUGCACGUGAGCGUUUGCGAUCCGGCUAACUGAUAAAAACCUUACCUGGAACAGAAAUUAAUUAUCCGAGAUGCGGGGGGAAGCAUUUUCGUCUCCCUUUCACCGCCCAGCCCAGCCGGACCUUAACUUACUCGUCCUUGCUCUUCUGAUCUUAAUUUUCGACACUCUUUGUCAACAGCUUCUCUCUUUUUUUCGUUCUCCCAAAUCCUUAAAUUAUCUAGAGGGACGUUUACAUACAUUUAACGUAGAUAAAACGGGCGUUACAAUAGAUUCGGUUAUUCGUUAUUGCAAUUUUACGAUUGUUUUUUAAGGCCGAAUACCAGUUCGAUACAACAUUUAUUAAGAAGUAAACUUUUACUUAGUUUAAAAAAAGGUAUUAUGUCUGAAAGACUACACAGUUGUGAGUGCGCCGGUUGUUCACAAGUAGCCACGAACGGGCCAUGCGUGUAUGGCCUGCAGCUAGCAAUUUUAUGGUCUACUGAUGACUGGGAAUGUUUGUUUAGAGCUGUCAGAAGAGUUGAUCGGUUGAGCCCGCGAGGUAACUCGAUAAGGGUGAGGUGUCCAGCCACAGAUUGCUCCUAGACCGCCCCCUCAUCCUGGCCAAAGGCUAGAGGGAAAGUUUUCUUACUGCUCCGUUACUGAUGGAUAGGAUAAGGUGCAGAGAUGAUUUUUUUUCUUCUGCUUCUUCUUAUUUUUUAUAGCUGUUGUGUGACAUUAAUGGAUGCAUGAAUUAUUAAGAACGAACUCUGUUUUUUUUUUUUUUUGUUCGAUAAGCUAGCUAUAAGGUCUUGAUGUCCGACAUAAAAAUAAUCAAUCGAAACAGUAAAAGACCGAAAGCGGGUUCUUUCACAUUCGACGCUAUCUCUGUACGUAUAUAUAAAUAUAAAAAAAGACCAACUGUAAGAAAGCGAGAAAUUCUUUUAAGUGAACUCGAGUGGAUUGUACAUUUAGAUACAUUUAGAUAGCAGCAUUUGCUAUCUAAAUAGUGUUGUUUGUAGAGUACGUGACCCCAAAGCGUCGAAUAGUUCGGCCUUUUAUAACCUGUUUGGACUGUACGUUGACGAGAAUUUAACUAGGGUCGACAGUUGACGAAGCGAAGGGAAAUAAAAAAAAAAAAGAAAAUUAAAAAAUGUUCUCUGGUUCGAUAUAUCGGGUAGCUGAAGUAUUAAAGUUUUAACUGGCUAUGACAGUUUAUUUAUUUACGCAGAGAUCAACGAAGUGCCGGUUCGCUUGGCUGACGACAAAUUGAAUCUCCCGUUGCUCCCCGAGGGAGAAACCGGUGAUUAGGGCUUCGGUAAUCUGUUGGGAGGGACUCGGGUUGUUAAGAAGCGGUACGAACAGCGCGGUAGGAUUGUACACGGCUUCUACGGUCGUGUGUGGCACGAGAUGUUGUGUACGCUCUUUCUCAUUCCCAAUACUUCUCACGUUUCCACCUCUCUCUCUCGUUCUCUCUCUCUUCAUUUGUCUCAUUUACACUCAAAAUCGCAUUAUCGUUUUUGAUUUACAACAGUUUAAUGGCAUUCUACGCGAUCGAGCGUUAUCAGACGCGUCGCGUUAAAGCGCAAUCAGGAUUGGAAGACGUAAACAAGCGUGCAUUUACUUCCAUCGAUCGGAAGGCGUAUCGCUGCUACCAGCGUCGUGUGGUUAUUGGAGGAAAACAUUUAUGCGGCAUCUGACCUCUGGAAGAUUUAACUCGAACGUUUUUAGGGAUGUAGACGGUAAAAAUCGACCCGAUUAACGAUUUAUUUACUCGCCCAUCGAAAAUAAACACUUGCCGAUUUUAUUUUUAUUAUUACUUUUUUUUAUCCGCGGUAAUAAUUGCGUCGAGCCGCAUGAUGUAUCGCUCAUAAAAGUUGCAAUUCAACCUGGUCGGACGUAUUUAUUUGACCGGCCAAAUUCUAGGCCUAAUUGCAACGAGAAAAUCCGCGGAACGAGAUUUAUAGUGCGGAGGGCCAAAUGGAAUGUCUCAGAGAGGUUAUUUAAUGAUAUCCGAGAGACAAUUCUUACGUGCAGAGGAGACAGUCUGGUUUGUCUGUGUUCCUCCUCUCUUCCAGGCCGACUACCGUUUCGCCGCCAAAUUUGGCCAAGAAGAGAAUUACGACAAACGGUGUUUUAUCAUAAAAUUUAAGAUAUAUUUUCGUAGGUAAAAAAGAAACGUUACGUAACCAUGUCGAGAGAAAUGGCGUGACACGCAGCUACCAUUGCUCCAUCCCCGAUUGCAGGGGUGGAGUAUAGCAGUAACCAUCUUAUUUAUUGGUUUCACAAAUCAUCCGAUAAUUAGUCUCUGUAGUACGUUAUAAAAACAGACGUUCGGUUAAUUUAUUCAACUAGAUUUCGGUGGUUUCUAUUCACCCAAAGCCGGUUGUUUAAAAAGGUACGCAUUUUGCUGAUGGGUGUACGCUUUUUUUUUGUUGUUGUCGUUUGGGAGUGUCGCUUUUGAUAGUUUUAUUGUCAGAAAUAUUAAAAUGAAAGUGGUCGGUGGUGUGCAUCUCACCUAGGCCGGUGACAGUGCUUGUCCUUUUCGUCUGCGAUCCCCACAGCGAUAGGGCGCACACAAGUCAAACAUAGCCAGCGGGGGGUGGGGCCUGCAGAUAGCCGCGUGUACUGCAUACACAAUAUCGUAGAUCUUAGCGGAGUCUAACUUGUUCCAACAUCUCUUAGCCACUAAAUCUUAUCGAUAUUUCCAGGCGAACAAAAAAGAAUUCUGUUAUUUUUUGAAGACGGAAUAUUUUUCUUACACUACGUUAGCAGUUUUAAAAAUCUGUUAGUUUGCUCUCAGUUAUGUCUGUUGUUCCCAUGGCCACGUUGGAUAGGGGUUGGCCGUUCACGGUUAGCCCGUCCAUCACGAUAGAUAUCGGACGUUGUUCACAUGACCGGUAGAGCGGGACUCGACCGCCAUCUGGAUUGCGCGACCAGUCUCUCGAGGACCCAGAUGAGUCAAUUCGAUUGAGAAAUAUCGAGUAUUAGUCGACCACGGUUCGAUCGUUCUAAACACGUUGGCGUGGUUAAGAAUAACCGGUUUCCGGCGACCAUUUUUUAUUUCAAUUUUUUUCUUCUAAUGUUUUAUUUACCGGACUGUAAGAUUUGAAUGAGAAUGGAAGCGAUUGAUGGCCGAAGUGCGAGGAAGAUGGGCGGUUCCGCUUUUCCUCCGCCAUCGAUCUAAUGUUUAGACUGUUGGCCGACCAAUAGAUAGGUCGAGUAGUGGCACGCGCUCUGCGUGUCAACGGACUCCGCCCACUUUUCGCACUCCACUCUUCUGUUUGACUCGAGUCAUUUCUCUUGUAAGUUCCCUUUACGCUUCUUUUUGGCCUCCUUUCAUCGUUUUCAUCCGUGUUGUGUGUACCGAAUUCCUUUGAUAAAAACUCCAUUCCGCUGAUAGUGGUGGAAAAAAUACUCUCUCGCUUAUUCUGUUGUUGUCUUUAUAUCGAAUUAAGGCUCUCGAAAAUCUUCCUCUCUUACGUAUGGCUUACGUUUUACUCCGAAAAUUCGUAAAUAUUGCUGUGAACUGUUGAUAAUUUUAUCAUUAUCAUUGGUGUUUGAAUCUGUUGUUACUUGUAGGAAUAAAUAGAUCUGUUUAAAAAGAUUUGUUUCCAACUGUAUCUUUAUCUUAUAAAA